rnacentral:tRNA from 1 species
GCGGACGUGACGAAAUGGUAGACGUAGCAGACUUAAAAUCUGCGUCCCGAAAGGGAGUGCGGGUUCGAGUCCCGCCGUCCGCACCA